GUCAAGUGAUGAAAAUCGUGCGUUAUGAGGUCCACUGGAAGUAAACCAGAGUAUUUCAUUUUGUCUGUAAUCUUGAUGAGUAUGUCGCAGACUGCAUACUCAUUGUAAGGCCGGACAUAGACUAAGGGGGCAGGAUUGCGACCCCUGGGUCGUAGGUAUGACCCUGGGGCAUCGCCCCUAGCCCAACAGAGAUGGGGGGGGAAACGGGUGGGGAUUUUUUUUUUUUUUUCAAACCGGUGACCUAUGACCUUCAUCUUUAGUAAUCUGAUGACA